rnacentral:lncRNA from 1 species
AAGGGCUGCUAACUUCAAUAUUGCCCUUGAUGAUGUGUCAAUUACUAGUCUGACUUUUGGCAAGGAGUUUACUGCUGCAAUUGAAGCAAAGCAGGUAGCUGCACAAGAAGCUGACAGGGCUAAAUUUGUUGUAGAAAAAGCUGAGCAAGACAAGAGAAGUGCUGUAAUUAGAGCACAGGUGACGAUAAAUUUUUAAUGCAUAGAUGCAGUUAACACUGUGGUGCUUAGUACAAGUUUCUUCUAAUUUUAUAUUUCCAAUACAGUAUGUGUAUUAAGGAAAAAGUAUUAUUUGGUGGGUUAGACUAUACUGCCAUUAUUCUGACUAGGUCUUGUUCUGAAACACACACCUGAAACUCAUGGAAAAAUUGGUGAUUUUUUUUUUCUUGAUAACUAUGUUGGGUUCUUCUUUGGUAACAAGUGGCCUGUUCAUAUCUGCCUGUUAAGUUUAGAGUGAGAUUUUAAAUUUAGCAUAUAUUGUUUGCUAUUGGCUGUUUUGCUUAUCAGACCACUUUUGCAUCUUAAGUAUUCAGUUCUCCCUGACCUUUCUUACGAAUCUUUAAGGGAGAAGCAAAAAGUGCCCAACUAAUUGGACAGGCUAUUGCCAACAAUCCAGCUUUUAUCACACUGAGGAAGAUAGAAGCGGUACGAGAGAUUGCACAUACUAUAUCAAACGCGGCAAACAAGAUUUACCUGAAUUCAGAUGAUCUGCUGUUGAAUCUUAAGAAGAUGAAUUUGGAGACAGGCAGAAAGUGAGUGGUUGGUAGCCU